rnacentral:tRNA from 1 species
UCGGUGUGUGGGCGGGCGGUGAGCCGGCGCUGGCGGCGUCGGGGGUGCCCGCCGACGCCCCCGGGGUGAUCGUCGCCGACUCCGGC